rnacentral:rRNA from 2 species
CUGAGGCGUGACGACGAGGCACUACGGUGCUGAAGCAACAAAUGCCCUGCUUCCAGGAAAAGCCUCUAAGCAUCAGGUAACAUCAAAUCGUACCCCAAACCGACACAGGUGGUCAGGUAGAGAAUACCAAGGCGCUUGAGAGAACUCGGGUGAAGGAACUAGGCAAAAUGGUGCCGUAACUUCGGGAGAAGGCACGCUGACACGUAGGUGAAGUGAUUUACUCAUGGAGCUGAAGUCAGUCGAAGAUACCAGCUGGCUGCAACUGUUUAUUAAAAACACAGCACUGUGCAAACACGAAAGUGGACGUAUACGGUGUGACGCCUGCCCGGUGCCGGAAGGUUAAUUGAUGGGGUCAGCGCAAGCGAAGCUCCUGAUCGAAGCCCCGGUAAACGGCGGCCGUAACUAUAACGGUCCUAAGGUAGCGAAAUUCCUUGUCGGGUAAGUUCCGACCUGCACGAAUGGCGUAAUGAUGGCCAGGCUGUCUCCACCCGAGACUCAGUGAAAUUGAACUCGCUGUGAAGAUGCAGUGUACCCGCGGCAAGACGGAAAGACCCCGUGAACCUUUACUAUAGCUUGACACUGAACAUUGAGCCUUGAUGUGUAGGAUAGGUGGGAGGCUUUGAAGUGUGGACGCCAGUCUGCAUGGAGCCGACCUUGAAAUACCACCCUUUAAUGUUUGAUGUUCUAACGUGGACCCGUGAUCCGGGUUGCGGACAGUGUCUGGUGGGUAGUUUGACUGGGGCGGUCUCCUCCUAAAGAGUAACGGAGGAGCACGAAGGUUGGCUAAUCCUGGUCGGACAUCAGGAGGUUAGUGCAAUGGCAUAAGCCAGCUUGACUGCGAGCGUGACGGCGCGAGCAGGUGCGAAAGCAGGUCAUAGUGAUCCGGUGGUUCUGAAUGGAAGGGCCAUCGCUCAACGGAUAAAAGGUACUCCGGGGAUAACAGGCUGAUACCGCCCAAGAGUUCAUAUCGACGGCGGUGUUUGGCACCUCGAUGUCGGCUCAUCACAUCCUGGGGCUGAAGUAGGUCCCAAGGGUAUGGCUGUUCGCCAUUUAAAGUGGUACGCGAGCUGGGUUUAGAACGUCGUGAGACAGUUCGGUCCCUAUCUGCCGUGGGCGCUGGAGAACUGAGGGGGGCUGCUCCUAGUACGAGAGGACCGGAGUGGACGCAUCACUGGUGUUCGGGUUGUCAUGCCAAUGGCACUGCCCGGUAGCUAAAUGCGGAAGAGAUAAGUGCUGAAAGCAUCUAAGCACGAAACUUGCCCCGAGAUGAGUUCUCCCUGAGACUUUAGGUCUCCUGAAGGAACGUUGAAGACGACGACGUUGAUAGGCCGGGUGUGUAAGCGCAGCGAUGCGUUGAGCUAACCGGUACUAAUGAACCGUGAGGCUUAACC